GCGUCAGCAGGGCUCUGUUGAUUUAAUCAGCGCCACACUGUUUACGUUGUUUUUUGCAAGCACUUACAACACUAGUACAACGAGGGAGAUUCUUCAUGUAAAACUGAAUUAAGGACAGAGGGAAUAAUGUCAUGUCGCUGUUGCGUAACUCAAACUUGUGUUAUCAUGAUUUCUAGUAUGUUAUUUUCAUCUUAAUGUUCUAUUAAAGUAAUUUACGUAACGUUCUGUUAAAGUAUUGAAUUUAAAUGUUUGCACAUGAAGGUCAUGUGUGUAAACUACAUAGGUUGAGCUGUGAACUAAUUGAACAAAUUAUGAAACCAGGCAGGUAACGCUCCUGAUCAGUUAAAUAUAUGUGGCUUUAAAACUUACUUCAUAGCUACUUGCGCAAAUCAUCAGCGUUCUACUCUUGGCAAUUGAUACCUAUUUUGUUUGGUCAAUAAAGGAGUAGAAUUACCAAGCAACAACACUAGUUACAGGAGCUGGGUUCAGUUGAACAUCGCACUAUAAUAUAAAGCGGUAACUGUGGUUUGGGAACCGCACAGUGUUUUACGUUAAGUGCAUGGCGGAAGGUGCUGACCUUGUUCAUAAUUUUGUAAACCUGUAGUUAUAGACCUUGUGAUCGUCUUAGAAAACCGAACUUAAAACCAAAUAGGCGCUUAUCUUCUGAAUCAUCGGUGUUCCAGAAAUCAGUGGAUUCUAACAGGUAUCAAUCGAGGCACUGUUAGUACAGACUACAGAGUACAGACGCAUGUAGAAACUACACGACGUUGCGUUGAUUUCAUACAAAGUAAACUUAGAUAGUAUUCAAUAGUAAUAUAGAGUAAUUUUGAGAGAGUUUGGACAAAUCUGAGGUUGGUUAUUAUUAGAGUGUGCGCGCUUUAAAAUUAUUCCUGCGGCCGGGUAAACAUACUGCUUCAUGAAAGUCAUUCGUUACAGAAUCGUAGUAAACUCUGUUUCUAAAUUAUACUGAAGCAAUACUGAACCGCGCGCAUUUAUGGAAACUUUUCAUUGCGGUAUUACUAUACGCACAAAGCGUGGUUGGAAAUGCAAGUGUUCAAAAGAUCGUUAUAAUCAGAUGCGCAAUUUAUUCAGGGUCGUUAACAGACUUAUGUGAACAAUGUUCAGCUGCACGUUCCACUAAUUCAGUUGUGCCUGUAUUUGUGACGCGUACGCCCUGACCAUAUAUCUAGCAGGCUUUCUUCGACCAUGUCCAUGUAUAGGCGGUUGUUGUCCAUAUUUUUAUUGCAAGAAUGAUGUUCCGUCUGUUUCAGUGUUGGCUUUGCGGUAAACUGUUCUUAGCGAGAUUUCUUUGAGGUGCUCAAUGUUAUAGGCAAUGUUCUAGGCAGCCGUCGGUUAUACAAGUUUAUAGCUUCUUGAUGUGCUUCCUCGCCACGGUCAAAUUGUAACUCUUUAAUCACUUUCUCUUUUCGCUUUUGUAAACAAUGAUGUAAAGUGGCAAAUUAAAUAUUCAAUUCAAAUGUAUUUCUAAUAGCAGACUUGGUGGAACAGUGGCGUUACUGUAGAGUAGUACAGCAUUAUCGUAAUAAUGUUUCAGGCGUUCAGCAACUGACCAUAUUGUCAAAUCACAACAUUCUACUGUUACAUCAGUGAGUUCAGUGUGUAUUCACUACGGGACGUGUGUUGAAGCGUACUUUCAGUACAAAAUAAUGAGUGAAGACGGCUGUUUGUGCAACAAUGGUGUCUCUAUUGCCAGCAUUUGUGGAUUUCCUUCAGCGUUGAGACAGUAAAUGUUUGUUAACUUUAUACGAUCCUAGUUGCAAGAUCAGUUUUUGAAAUUCAUUUAAAGUAGGCUAUCACUAUUAGUUUGUUCCUUAUACUAAUGUAUUCUUGUGAUUUUUAUGCAUGUAUCUAUAUAUACCGAAACUGGUAUUUAUGUUGAUCAGUAAAUAUUAUAUUAUACUAAAGAGACCUUCAGAACUGUUGUUUGUUGACACUUGUUGCAGGGGUAUUUAGAGCAAGCAAAUUUAAAUAUGUCUCUGAGUUUACUGGCCUCUGAAUUGAAGAAUACUGAUAUAAUGAAAAGAACGAACAUAAUAUUUAUUCAGGCUCUGACAAAUGCCACUCAUUUGUUGGAUAACUCUGAGUGAUAGAGCUGCGCAUGAAAUAUAUACAUCAUCAUUAUAGCUACCUCACCUAAUGCAUAUUGGUCAGUAUAAUACACGAUAGCCUUAAGUCAAACGCACGUAUAAUCGUCAUUGCCAGAUAGUUAUGCUAAAAAUUAUAUUGGUUGGUAAACAACACAGGUUUUGAUUUUUGGCUGGGGUAUAGUUCGUCCUGAAAAACGUGUGCCUGAGAGCGCGGCUGGUCAGCGGCCCGGAAGAUCGUUCGAGCAUUUCAUUCAAACUAUCUUUAUCGUUGUAUAGAGAAAGCCACGGGCGCAGAAUGCUAAGGGAUUCCACCUACAAUUCGAUGAUCGAAGAAGCAAUUAUACCUAAAGAAGAAACUGCCUGGAACCACGACGAGGUAUGUAAACAUUUCUAAAUAUACGUUGUCCGGUUUACAACUCAUUUCUAGAAGUCAC
rnacentral:lncRNA from 1 species